rnacentral:rRNA from 1 species
GAUGAACGCUGACAGAAUGCUUAACACAUGCAAGUCAACUUGAAUUUGGGUUUUUAACUUAGGUUUGGGUGGCGGACGGGUGAGUAACGCGUAAAGAACUUGCCUCACAGCUAGGGACAACAUUUGGAAACGAAUGCUAAUACCUAAUAUUAUGAUAAUAGGGCAUCCUAUAAUUAUGAAAGCUAUAAGCGCUGUGAGAGAGCUUUGCGUCCCAUUAGCUAGUUGGAGAGGUAACGGCUCACCAAGGCGAUGAUGGGUAGCCGGCCUGAGAGGGUGAUCGGCCACAAGGGGACUGAGACACGGCCCUUACGACUACGGGAGGCAGCAGUGGGGAAUAUUGGACAAUGGACCGAGAGUCUGAUACAGCAAUUCUGUGUGCACGAUGAAGUUUUUCGGAAUGUAAAGUGCUUUCAGUUGGGAAGAAACAAAUGACGGUACCAACAGAAGAAGUGACGGCUAAAUACGU